rnacentral:rRNA from 1 species
AUUGAACGCUGGCGGCAGGCCUAACACAUGCAAGUCGAGCGGAGCGGGAGCCGCGUGCGUAAUGCCUAGGUAUCUGCCUGUUCGUGGUGGAUAACGUCCGCAAACGGGCACUGAUACUGCAUACUAUCAGUUGCGCCUAGGUCGGAUUAGCUAGUUGGUGGGGUAAAGGCAUACCAAGGCGACGAUCCGUAUCUGGUCUGAGAGGAUGAUCAGCCACACUGGAACUGAGACACGGUCCAGACUCCUACGGGAGGCAGCAGUGGGGAAUAUUGGACAAUGGGCGAAAGCCUGAUGCAGCCAUGCCGCGUGUGUGAAGAAGGUCUUCGGAUUGUAAAGCACUUUAAGUUGGGAGGCGUUACCAGCAGAAGAAGCACCGGCUAACUUCGUGCCAGCAGCCGCGGUAAUUC